ACAUUUCAGUCAUUUAGCAGACCCUCUUAUCCAGAGCAACUUACAGUAGUGAGUGCAUACAUUUUCAUACUGGUCCUCCAUGGGAUUCAAACCCACAACCCUGGCUUUGCAAGUGCCAUGCUCUAACAAGUGAGCCACACGGGGCUUGUAGUAUCAUGCAGAGUCCAUACUCUGAUGAAUUGAAGCUGUUCUGAGGGCAAAAGGGGGUUGGUACAACUCAAUAUUAGGAAGUUGUUCCUAAUGUUUCGUAUACUCAGUGUAUAAUACAUAACUGUAGUCCUGUACUUUGGCUUCCUGUUUAACUGAGUGUUCUACUCUCUGCAUCAGUGUUCCUUCACUCAGUAAGGGCUCUGUCCAUCUGUUCUGUCAUUCUUGGGUUCUUCGCUGGAGUCCUCACACUGAUAGGGAUGAAGUGCACCAAGAUUGGAGGGUCAGAGCUCACCUUCGCUGGGGGAAUCACCUAUCUGGCAUCUGGAUUUGCUGGCCUGAUCGUGUACUCCUGGUGGGGUAACAAAGUAAGAUCAGAGUUUGUGGAUCCCAAUUUACAGGCACGGAAGUGAGUGGAUUUUUUCCCAAUGAGACUGCUGGAACACACUAGAACAACAAGUAUUCGAAGAAAAGGCACCGCAGACCUAACUCCUAUGCCACAGCUCAGACCAGACGCACAUACAUGAUGCCAAACUCUUCCAGAGUGACUCCAAUGCCACAAUUGGUCCAAGGGAGCAGAGGUGGCAGAAGGAUCAGGACAAGGACCACUGGGACGUAUAGCAGGGACGAUUUAGAUUGAGCUGCAGUAGCUCCUGUACCGCAUGAAAUACACUGCUUCAUAUCAUUGGUCGUUAGGUACCAUGAAAACAUUGUGGGAACUGAAUCAAUUUCAUUUGGUAACUGUCUCACCACCUACACCUUGUAGAUGCCUUAUGUAGGACUGUUUUACUAACAUAUAACUGUGUUCCUUUUGUGAACUGAAUUGACAUCAAGGAAAGGGAUGAAUGUUUUCA